rnacentral:rRNA from 1 species
AUUGAACGCUGGCGGUAGGCCUAACACAUGCAAGUCGAACGAGUGGCGGACGGGUGAGUAAUGUCUGGGAAACUGCCUGAUCGAGGGGGAUAACUACUGGAAACGGUAGCUAAUACCGCAUACCAUCGGAUGUGCCCAGAUGGGAUUAGCUAGUCGGUGGGGUAAAGGCUCACCUAGGCGACGAUCCCUAGCUGGUCUGAGAGGAUGACCAGCCACACUGGAACUGAGACACGGGCCAGACUCCUACGGGAGGCAGCAGUGGGGAAUAUUGCACAAUGGGCGCAAGCCUGAGACAGCAAUGCCGCGUGUAUGAAGAAGGCCUUCGGGUUGUAAAGUACUUUCAGCGGGGAGGCGUUACCCACAGAAGAAGCACCGGCUAACUCCGUGCCAGCAGCCGCGGUAAUUC